ACAUGCCUACAACAUAGCAUCAAUGCACAGGAUCCCAUUAAAACUCCAUAGUUAAGCGCGCUCAGGAUAGAGUAGUAUUGGGAUGGGUGACUGCCCAUGAAAUCCUAGUGUUUUACAUGCC
rnacentral:rRNA from 1 species